GACGAACGCUGGCGGCGUGCCUAAUACAUGCAAGUCGAGCGAAUCAUUCCUUCGGGGAUGGUUAGCGGCGGACGGGUGAGUAACACGUAGGCAACCUGCCUGUAAGACUGGGAUAACUAGCGGAAACGUUAGCUAAUACCGGAUACACGGUUGGAUCGCAUGAUCCGAUUGGGAAAGAGGGUGUAAGCUCUCACUUGCAGAUGGGCCUGCGGCGCAUUAGCUUGUUGGUGGGGUAAUGGCUCACCAAGGCGACGAUGCGUAGCCGACCUGAGAGGGUGAUCGGCCACACUGGGACUGAGACACGGCCCAGACUCCUACGGGAGCAGCAGUAGGAAUCUUCCGCAAUGGACGCAAGUCUGACGGAGCAACGCCGCGUGAGUGAUGAAGGUUCUCGGAUCGUAAAGC
rnacentral:rRNA from 1 species